UGGGGAAUUUUGGACAAUGGGGGAAACCCUGAUCCAGCCAUCCCGCGUGUGCGAUGAAGGCCUUCGGGUUGUAAAGCACUUUUGGCAGGAAAGAAACGUCAUGGGUUAAUACCCCGUGAAACUGACGGUACCUGCAGAAUAAGCACCGGCUAACUACGUGCCAGCAGCCGCGGUAAUACGUAGGGUGCAAGCGUUAAUCGGAAUUACUGGGCGUAAAGCGUGCGCAGGCGGUUCGGAAAGAAAGAUGUGAAAUCCCAGAGCUCAACUUUGGAACUGCAUUUUUAACUACCGGGCUAGAGUGUGUCAGAGGGAGGUGGAAUUCCGCGUGUAGCAGUGAAAUGCGUAGAUCUGCGGAGGAACACCGAUGGCGAAGGCAGCCUCCUGGGAUAACACUGACGCUCAUGCACGAAAGCGUGGGGAGCAAACAGG
rnacentral:rRNA from 1 species